AGCAACGGAGCAGUCCCUUCCCUCAUCUUCCAAGCUCUUGGGCGGAGGGGUGAGAGAUCACGGAGUAACCCCCCCUUCGCUACGGAGGCAACAACGGCUUAUGUGCACUCCCACUCACACAUAGCCGGGUCAGCAACGGCUUAUGUGCACUCCUACUCGCACAUAGCCGGGUUCAAAUCAACAUGUAAUGAAGCAUCCAAUCCAUAUCAUGCAUUUUAUCAUAUUGUGAUAACACAUAAACCAUUGUAUAGCACAUUUUCACAAUAUAAAAUUAUUUUACUAAAAGCUUGUUCCCAAGGUACAUUUUCUAAGACAAGUUGGAUAGAAUCUUUCAUAUUUUCCAAAACAAGUUUGAAAUGCCAGUCCACUCACCUGUAUUAGGAGUAAAAAUACUCAUAUUUUUAGUCUGCGGGUACAGUCCUUUACCCGUAUCCAAUGGCUCACCACCUAGCCAUAAUCCAUGACACAUAUUCCAAUUAAAUUGUGUCUAACAGUCAAAAGCUAUUUCAGGCUUGAUAAAUAUAUGAUAUGAAAUGAAAAAUGCACGGGUUGCCAUCUAGAUCUGGUACUGGCCUAAGUCGAUUUUUCAUCAAAUCAAUUGGCCAAUGCGUCCAAUUUCACUCCAAAUUAAUCCAUUUCUCCUCUAAUACCUUAAUUAACCACAUACCAUUUAAAUAAAGCCAAAUUCAACAUUAGAACCUUCACAGUUCCUUAUAGAAAAAUUCGGUCAUUUGGUGCACUGGCACCGAAAAUUUUUCUACAUAACCGUUUCACCUUAAUUCAUCAUUUUCCAAGCCAUUUUCCUUGAAAUAAAAACAAUCCCCCAUUGAUAUUCAGCCCUCAUGGUUCGACUAACAAAGAACCCUAGAGAAAGUGAAUAUUUCUUUUGUGUUUUUGUUCAUAACCAUGCUUAAUUAUCCCUAAACACUAACAUAGUCUAAAAUCAAAUUAUUCCAACAACAAUUCCUCUUCCAUACCCAUUUUUCAGAAUUGAAUUCAUCAUGAUAACUCAAUAUUCAACCAUGGAAAUCAAGAACAAAAGCAUGGGUAAGCUAGGUAUCAAGGAGAAUUAAAUAAAUUUGAACUUCCCUAGCUUGUUUCCUUGAAUUCCAACACUUUCUCUUUGAUUUUUCCCACCUAGGGCUUGUUCUUCCUUGGUUUCUCUUCUCUUAUGGUUUGGCUGAUCACUAUGGGAGAAAUGGACUGAUUUUUAUGCCUUUUAUAAAGAAAAUAAUGAAUGGAUGAGAUUUUGAUACAUGUCACCAUUUCAUUGGUCCAUGUGUCAUACUUAGCCAUUAAGCAAUCUCUCUCCACCACACAUUUUUCAUGUUUAUCCAUUUAGAGGAUGAAUAAAAUCCCAUGGCCUUGACAAGUGCUGGGGUGAAAAAUUUACCGAUUUACCCCCGGGGCGAAAAAAUUACGAUUUUGCCCCUAUACUCCGAAAUGUAUCGGAAUCAAAUUAUUUCUACUUUUCAACCUCAAAUAACACUAACAUUGAUCAAUUUUUCUGAUGGACUCUAAACUGGACCUUGAACUCCGAAUCACUGUUUUAAGCCAUUCUAUUGGUUUUAAAAUUUUCAAAUUCCUCUUAGAAUUUCUAUUUGAACUAGUUCAAGGCUCGAUUUAACUUAGUUGUACCACUCGGUACAAUACCAUUUUUUAAUCGAGCUUGACAGGGCCUCACAUAAGCAUCCUUCCCCCUUCACUCGGCAAGAGGUGCACUUCACUCCGAAUCACGAAGCAAUAGAGCAAUCCCUUCCCUUAUCUUUCAAGCUCCUGGGCGGAGGGGUGGGAGAUCACGGAGCAUCCCCCCUUUCGCUACGGAGGCAACAACGGCUUAUGUGCACUCCCACUCACACAUAGCCGGGUCAGCAACGGCUUAUGUGCACUCUCACUCACACAUAGCCGGGUCAGCAACGGCUUAUGUGCACUCCUACUCGCACGUAGCCGGGUUCAAAUCAACAUGUAAAGAAGCAUCCAAUGCAUAUCAUGCAUUUUAUCAUAUUGUGAUUACACAUAAACCAUUGUAUAACACAUUUUCACAAUAUAAAAUCAUUUUACUAAAAGCUUGCUCCCAAGGUACAUUUUCUAAGACAAGUUGGAUAGAAUCUUUCAUAUUCCCCAAAACAAGUUUGAAA
rnacentral:lncRNA from 1 species